ensembl:rRNA 5S_rRNA 5S ribosomal RNA
NNNNNUGGCUACACCACCCUGAACAAGUGCGAUCUUGUCUGAUCUUGGAAGCAAAGCAGGGUCGGGCUUGGUUAGUACUUGGCUGGGAGAAAUAGUUUUAUUGCUU